rnacentral:rRNA from 1 species
GGAAAAGAAAACAAUAGUGAUUCCCCUAGUAGCGGCGAGCGAAAAGGGACAAGUCUAAACCAGCAUAGCUUGCUAUGUUGGGGUUGCGGGAUAUAAUCUGAGUUUACUCGACGAGUCAGAAAAUAGUUAGUUAGAAGAAUGAAUCAGGAAAGUUUCAGCCAAAGAGGGUGAUAGCCCCGUAUUCGAAAAUUAACUAUCUCGUUUGAUUAUACUCCCAAGUAGGGCGGAACACGAGAAAUUCUGUCCGAAUCUGUCAGGACCACCUGAUAAGACUAAAUACUCUCAUAUGACCGAUAGUGAAGAGUACCGUGAGGGAAAGGUGAAAAGUACCCCGAGAGGGGAGUGAAAUAGAACCUGAAACCGUGUGCCUACAAGCGGUCGGAGUCUCUUUUGAGAUGACGGCGUGCCUUUUGCAUAAUGAGCCAGCAAGUUACUCAUACGUUGCAAGGUUAAGUUUAAAUUACGGAGCCGUAGGGAAACCAAGUCUGAAUAGGGCGAUUUAGUAACGUGUGGUAGACGCGAAACCAGGUGAUCUUACCAUGGGCAGGUUGAAGCCUCAGUAAAAUGAGGUGGAGGACCGAACCGACUUGGGUUGAAAACCGAGCGGAUGACCUGUGGUAAGGGGUGAAAGGCUAAUCAAACCUGGUGAUAGCUCGUUCUCCUCGAAAUAUUUUUAGGAAUAGCGUUGUAUUAUAGUAUCAUGGAGGUAGAGCACUGAUUGGGCUAGGGCGCAAUACCCGCGUACCAAACCCAUUUAAACUCCGAAUGCCAUAGAUAUGUUCUACAGCAGUCAGGCAGUGUGAGAUAAGUUUCAUUGCCAAGAGGGAAACAACCCAGACCAACAGCUAAGGCCCCAAAAUUCAUACUCAGUGACAAAGGAUGUGAAUUAGCUAAGACAGCUAGGAGGUUGGCUUAGAAGCAGCCAUCCUUUAAAGAAAGCGUAAUAGCUCACUAGUCAAGGUAAUUUGCGCCGAUAAUAACCGGGACUUAAGUAUGAUGCCGAAGCUUUGGUUCUUACGCUUGCGUAAGAAGGUAGAGGAGCGUUCCAUUAACCUGCGAAGGUUGCUUGUGAGAGCAGCUGGAGGAGAUGGAAAUGAGGAUGCUGGCAUGAGUACGCGAGAAAACACGUGAAAUUCGUGUUCACCAUAAGCCUAAGGUUUCCUGAUCAACGCAAAUCGGAUCAGGGUUAGUCGGCCCCUAAGACGAGGCCGAAAGGCGUAGUCGAUGGGAAUCAGGCAAAUUUUAAUAUUCCUGAACCACCGAAACUUAACCCGGGAGCACCAUUGCCCAGAUAUGUUGACCUUAUUGAUUUGGUUAACAUAAGCAAGCAGUGGCAAGAAAAAGCCCGGUGUAUGCUAAGGUGACCGUACCGUAAACCGACACAGGUAGGCGAGGAGAGUAUCCUAAGGUGCUUGAGAGAACAAUGGUCAAGGAACUCGGCAAAUUGACUCCGUAACUUCGGGAGAAGGAGUUCCCGAUCUUUGAUUGGGACGCAGUGAAAAGGGGGGAGCGACUGUUUACUAAAAACACAGGUCCAUGCUAACACGUAAGUGGACAUAUAUGGACUGACACCUGCCCGGUGCCGGAAGGUUAAGAGGAUUUGUUAUUCUGACUUGUCAGAAGAAGCUUAGAAUUGAAGCCCCGGUAAACGGCGGCCGUAACUAUAACGGUCCUAAGGUAGCGAAAUUCCUUGUCGGGUAAGUUCCGACCUGCACGAAUGGUGCAACGACUUCCCCACUGUCUCGACCAUUGACUCAGCGAAAUUGUAGUAUCGGUGAAGAUGCCGGUUACUUAUAGAAGGACGGAAAGACCCCGUGAACCUUUACUAUAGCUUGAUAUUGGCUUUUGAUUCUAUAUGUGUAGGAUAGGUGGGAGACUUUGAAGCUUUAACGCCAGUUGGAGUGGAGUCAUCCUUGAAAUACCACCCUUGUAUUGUCGCAAGUCUAACCUUGUACCUUGAAUCAGGUAUGGGGACAGUGUCUGGUGGGUAGUUUGACUGGGGCGGUCUCCUCCAAAACAGUAACGGAGGAGCCCAAAGGUCACCUCAGCACGGUCGGUAAUCGUGCGUAGAGUGCAAACGCAUAAGGUGGCUUGACUGCGAGUCUGACGGGACGAGCAGGUGCGAAAGCAGGGGUUAGUGAUCCGGUGGUUCCGAGUGGAAGGGCCAUCGCUAAUCGGAUAA